AUUUUCCCAUUUCUUUUAAAUUCUUAAUGACUUUUAUGUAAGUUUACUUUGCCACUUUGAUCCCAGAAUACCACAUAUUUUAUGGCAGGGCUAUUUAUUACUGAAAGAAUGUAAAAUAAAGGUAUAAAAAUGUCUUCUAGAUGAGGCAUUUUUAGUAUAUAUUCUGUGUUUACUUUUUUUUUCUUUUUUCUCUUUCCAUUACUUCUGCCUAUUUAUGGAAGCAAUGUUUUAGGCUUGUUCUUUUCUGACUUUACUAAUGCACUUUUCUGACUUUAAUACUUCCUUUGUUGUUCAAAUCAUAAAGAUGAAAUCAAUAUUGUGAAAGAUAAUGUAUUUUAUUAUAGAAAUAUGGAUUAUUGAAAUAAGUCUUCACAUAUGAAACAAAAUUUUAUGCAUUGUGAUAAUGUGCUUUUUCUCUGGAGUUAGGAAAUUUUCUCAGUUUUAUCAGAAACAAGAGUUAGGUCUUUUUUAUUUAAACUAUCAUAUAUAAUUUAGGUAAAUUGAAAGAAAAAAUAUUUUAUAUUUAGCCACAUCUUUUCCAUUUUCAGUGUUCUUUACUUCUUUAUUAAGAUCUGAGUUUCUAUCUGGUAUAAUGUCCUUUCA
rnacentral:lncRNA from 1 species